GGUGCUUCUUCUUCGGAAGAUGUAACCCGGCGGACGGCUCAGUAACACGUGGAUAACUUGCCCUUGGGUCCGGGAUAACCCCUGAGAAAUUGGGGACAAUACCGGAUAGGGCAUCGAUUGCUGGAAUGCGCGAUGUCCAAAAGCUGAGGCGCCCAAGGAUAGGUCUGCGGCCGAUUAGGUUGUUGUUGAUGUAAUGGAUCAACAAGCCUGCAAUCGGUACGGGUUGUGAGAGCAAGAGCCCGGAGAUGGGUUCUGAGAAAAGAACCCAGGUCCUACGGGACGCAUCAGGCGCGAAAACUUUACAAUGUGCGAAAGCACGAUAAGGGAACUCUGAGUGCCUCCUAUGGAGGCUGUUCAGGUGUCUAAAAAGCACUUGAAGUAAGGGCUGGGUAAGACCGGUGCCAGCCGCCGCGGUAACACCGGCAGCCCAAGUGGUAGCCACGAUUAUUGGGUCUAAAGCGUCCGUAGCCGGCCAGGUAAGUUCUUUGGGAAAUUUAACCGCUCAACGGUUAAGCUUUCAGGGAAUACUGCUUGGCUUGGGACCGGGAGAGGUCAGAGGUACUUCAAGGGUAGGGGUGAAAUCCGUUAAUCCUUGAGGGACCACCAGUAGCGAA
rnacentral:rRNA from 1 species